CCUACGGGGGGCAGCAGUGAGGAAUAUUGGUCAAUGGGCGGGAGCCUGAACCAGCCAAGUCGCGUGAGGGACGACGGUCCUAUGGAUUGUAAACCUCUUUUGUCGGGGAACAAAGGCGCCCACGGGUGGGCGGCUGAGUGUACCCGAAGAAAAAGCAUCGGCUAACUCCGUGCCAGCAGCCGCGGUAAUACGGAGGAUGCGAGCGUUAUCCGGAUUUAUUGGGUUUAAAGGGUGCGUAGGCGGCCUUUUAAGUCAGCGGUGAAAGUCUGUGGCUCAACCAUAGAAUUGCCGUUGAAACUGGGAGGCUUGAGUAUGUUUGAGGCAGGCGGAAUGCGUGGUGUAGCGGUGAAAUGCUUAGAUAUCACGCAGAACCCCGAUUGCGAAGGCAGCCUGCCAAGCCAUGACUGACGCUGAUGCACGAAAGCGUGGGGAUCAAACAGGAUUAGAUACCCGAGUAGUC
rnacentral:rRNA from 1 species